rnacentral:tmRNA from 1 species
GGGGAUGCCAGGCUUCGACGGGAGAGGCUGGUCCCGGAUUGCGAGCCGAGAGGUGCCGACCUCGUAAAAUCCGCACAAAACUUAAGUGCCAAAAACACU